rnacentral:rRNA from 1 species
CCCUUAGAGUUUGAUCCUGGCUCAGGACGAACGCUGGCGGCGUGGAUUAGGCAUGCAAGUCGCGCGAGAAUCAGCCCUUCGGGGCUGAGGACAGCGGCGAACGGGUGAGUAACACGUGAACAACCUGCCCUCACAUUCCGGACAAUUCACCGAAAGGUGUUGUAAUACGGGCGAGGAUCCCAUCGAGGCAUCUCGAAGGGAAGGAAGGCGCAAGCCGUGCGAGGAGGGGUUCGCGGAGCAUCAGGUAGUUGGUGGGGUAACGGCCUACCAAGCCUACGACGCUUAGCUGGUCUGAGAGGAUGGUCAGCCACAUUGGAACUGAGACACUGUCCAGACUCCUACGGGAGGCUGCAGUCGAGAAUCCUGGUCAAUGCACGAAAGUGUGAACCAGCGACGCCGCGUGAAGGAUGAAGGCCCUUGGGUCGUAAACUUCUUUUAGAGGGGA